CCAAUAGCGUAUAUUAAAGUUGCUGCAGUUAAAAAGCUCGUAGUUGAAUUUCGGGACCAUCAUGUCGGUCGUGCCUCGGUACGUACUGGUAUUGUUGGUUUCUCCCUUCUGACGAACCAUGAUGUCAUUUAUUUGGUGUUGUGGGGAAUCAGGACUGUUACUUUGAAAAAAUUAGAGUGUUUAAAGCAGGCUCACGCUUGAAUACAUUAGCAUGGAAUAAUGAAAUAGGACGUUUGAUUCUAUUUUGUUGGUUUCCAGGAUCGACGUAAUGAUUAAUAGGGAUAGUUGGGGGCAUUAGUAUUCAAUUGUCAGAGGUGAAAUUCUUGGAUUUAUUGAAGACUAACUACUGCGAAAGCAUUUGCCAAGGAUGUUUUCAUUAAUCAAGAACGAAAGUUAGGGGAUCGAAGACGAUCAGAUACCGUCGUAGUCUUAACCAUAAACUAUGCCGACUAGGGAUCGGAUGAUGUUAAUUUUUUAAUGACUCAUUCGGCGCCUUACG
rnacentral:rRNA from 1 species